UAUGGCCAUAAUACCAUGGACGUGCCUGGUAUCAUCUGAUCUCAGAAGCUAAACAGGCUCUGGCUUGAUUAAUACUUGGAUGGAAGAAAACAAAGUGUGCCCAUUU
ensembl:rRNA 5S_rRNA 5S ribosomal RNA